UUAAGUUUAAAAAAAUAUGCCCUUUACAUAUUUUUAGAAUUAAGAGUAAAAGACUGAGCAAGAAAAAAUAUUCUUGGAACAAUAUUGAAAACAAGGGAAAGAAAUUACUCAUUUGGCUCUGGCACGUGUGUUCAAGAAGAAUUCAAAUAUCAUCACUACCAAAUUAAUAUGAUGAUUAAAAAAACAACUUGCAGCUGAGAUACUUUCAGAAAGAUUUGUACAUUCAUUUUAGAAACAAAAACUUCCAUUACUUAUCUACCAGUGAGAAAUAUUUAACACUUUUCUGUUUCCACCUAUCGUUAGCUAUUUUUAUAUUCUGUUGGUUCCAUUAGCAUAAGAUAAAGCAUAAUUCUUGGUUAACAAACCAUUUUGGCUGUGUUCACAUAACGCAUAUCCACAAAGUAUUUCAUUAACCUACCAUGAUUGCUUUAUUCAUUUGAUAAUGUAGUGAGUUUGACUUAACCACUGUAGUUUAUUUAUUAUUUAAAUAAAUGUUAAGUGAAUAGAAAUUUUGAUUCUAAAUCAAUCCAUCCUCUCCAUGUCACUAUUUUUAAAAAAACAUAAAAAUAGGAAAAAUACUAGCAACCUUCCCUGUAUCUCUGAGCAAUCUAUAUUAUAAAUACUUGAUAAUAAUACUGUAGUUAAAUAUGUUGUACUAUAUUGUAAAGAGUAUAGUGUAACAUAACUCUAGUCCAGGCCAUACAGCUUUUACUGUUAACUGCUUGCACAGCAGUUAUUGAUUAAACCACAACUGGAUAUCCCACAUAAGUGAUUAGAAACUAGAAUGGUGAAUACAGGUGAGGAAAAAAAACUUGACUAUGUUAUGGCUGUUCUGCUACAUAGUAGAACCAAAUGCAAAACAAGUCCUAUUGUGUGAUUAGGAGUAAAGCCAAACACACAUCCUUUAGCCAAAUUCCUAUGAUCAUUUGAAAGCUUUCAUUUCCCUCCCUCUCAGGUGCUCCACCCUGGAAGGAUACCCACCCAAACUUCCAUCAGCAGCUUCAACUAAUUUUGACUAGUUUAUCUCACUGAUUGCUUUGCUGUAGUGGUUACUAUCAUGUGGUACCAUCCAGGCAGCCUGUUGCUGUUUUUCUUCUGCUUCGUUGCUUGUGAUUUAUCUUCUCCAGAUCCUGGGCUUCUGUCUCAAGGCAGGAGUCACCUGCAAUGGGUUCAGGAGCUAGCCCGACACCCACGAUAUGGACCUUGUUGGAUGGAGACCUUGAGACAAUUGGAUGGUGGGUGCAAGGAGUUGAACGAAGAACAACAAAGCCGUAUUGCACUGGCAUUUGCUCAUUGCCACCUACAACGGUCUGGGAGGAAGUUCCCACCCUGUGAAAUUGGUAGCUCUAUCCGUGACUGCACACAGCACAUGGAUCCAGUGGCUUUUGGCGUGUACACUGAGUUUUUCACUCAUGCUCAUGCCAUCUGUUAUUUUCUUCACAAUGAGGCUUGGCAGCAGCAGGCCCAAGAUACUGUGCACAGGCUGAUCUCCUCUUCAGAAACGGUGGCCCAUCAGUUGGAAUCUACCAACCAGCUUGCAGAAGAGACUGCUCGGAUCCAAAAUGCCACUUUGCGCUCUCAAGAGCAGAUCCUGCGCGAUGGGGAGCUGUUAUGGCAGACGCUCCGUGACUCCUCCCAAGGCAUACACCAGGCCUUCCAAGAACUGCAGAAUUCGGCCAUCGAGCAACGAAUGGCCUUUGCAGAGAUCUUCAAUCGGGUGGCCUUCCUGCACCGCUUUGUAGUGGGAGAAUCCAAUGCGCUCUAUUCCAUCUUCUUCCAUCUCUUGAGCGGUGUUACUGCCCUGCUGCUGACCUCUAGCCAGCGAACUGCAAGAGCUCGGCUCAUUUUGCUGACCUUGGUGGGAGCUAAUAUUUAUCUAGAACGUGUUAUUUGUAACGUUCUCCUGGAUCACUCAGAAGAGGGCUACGACCUGACGGAAAGCCUCUCCUUCUGGGUCGGCCUCACACGCCGGACUUUUGCUGGACUCUGCAUAGCUAUACUAGGUUAUUUUAUUUGGACCUACAAGGACCCAGCCAAACAGAGCCAAGAGGUGCUGCAGAGUCUGCAGGAAACUCGGAAAGAGAUUCAGCAACUUUUACAAGAAACUGAGAGGUUGUUGGCUAAACCGGAGCUUCUGUUUCAAGGCACCAAGCCUAGAACAGAAGAGGAGGUAUCGGCUGACAUGGGAGUCUCAAAGCUGCUGUUCUGUUCAGAGAAGAGAGCUGAAAUGGACACAAAAGAAUAUUGGGCUGAAUACCAGAGAAUUCCUUCUCUAGCAGAUUGUGAAAACCAAGGUUGGGCUGUAAAGCAGUUGAACUACAAAAACAAUCUGCAAGUAAUUGAUGAGAUACAGACUAGUAGCCCCAGGCAGAGAGGAUGGCCAUCUUCCCAGACUCAUCGUUCAUUGUCUCGCCGGCAUAGGCAAUCCCAAAAUGUGGCUACUCAGCUGCUGACAAUCUCUAUACCAGUGGAUCGGCCACUCAUCUCACAUUCGUGACUCUGGGCAGCUUGCAAUUAAAUUAAUAAUAAAGCAGGCCUGUGGAUAUUCUGUGAGGAACCUUCUUCCUCCGAUGUGAUGGGCCUGUGCCAUUCACUCUGGCAGAAGAGGCCUUCUUUGGACUCCUAGCCAAGACAUCUCAGCUAGUGGGGUCAAGACGAGCAGUGGCUCCUGCACUGUGGGACACCUUGCCUUCAGAGACACCGCGGUACAACCUUCGGAGCCGUCGGUCUCUACAAGACGCAGACUCUUUCACAAACUGAGAAGCCUGAGCCCCAGAUGUCUGCAAGAAAAGCCAAAGAAGUAUAAAUAACCUCACUGUGUACUGAUGCAGCCAAAGGAAGCAGCAUCUCUUUUGGCAAGGUUUUGGUCAAUAAUCACACUUCUUUGACUAAGAAAAUAAUCAAUCUGGGACAUGUGAUUCCUUUAUUUGAUUUUCUCCGAGUAUCCUAAGAUCUCUAAAGAUAUUAAAGAACCUGAGCAGGCAAGAG